CUGAUACGUCAAAUAUCAUAUUUUUUAAUCAAAAUUUUAUCGAAUUAAAAGAAAUAACUAAAAUUGUUAAAAUCUAAUGUCCCACGAGGAUCAGCUUGACGACAACAUCCAAGAUUUUUGGACUAAUCCAUGGACACCCUAAUUAUAUUUAUUUUAUUUAUUUAUUAUUAUUAUUUUAUUAUUAUUAUUAUUUUUUUUAUUUAAUUCCAUAAAUCUUAAAAAUCUAAAAGAGAGAGAGAGCAGAGAGAGAAAGUUUCUCUCUCUCCUUUCAUCUUCUUUUUUUUUCUUCUUUUUUUUUCUUUUUUUUUCCUUUCUUUUUCUUCUUCUUCUUCUUCUCGGCUCUUUCCACGCCGAAACAGGGGACCGACGUCCCCUCCUUUUGCCGGGCCCUUCAGGCCGCGGCCGCCGCGGCGGAGGCCGGCGGUAGAGGGAGGCUGCUCUCCCGGUUACGGAGGAGCAUGGCCGAUAGUCGAUUGCGAUCGCCGGCGUCGGAAAAUCAAGGAAAAAGAGGCCCAAAACAGGGGUCUCUUUCCCGACCGAAAAUCGGCGACACUCGUCGCCGGCCGUCACGCACAAGGGUAUGGGAGGAAAGGGAAGGAAGAGAGGAAGGGGAGGAAGACUUACCUCGGCCUCCGGUGACCCCACCGGCGAGCAAUCACGAUGAGAAUCAAGACGGUGUCCGCGGCUCCGAUCG
rnacentral:lncRNA from 1 species